GAUGAACGCUGGCGGCGUGCCUAAUACAUGCAAGUCGAGCGAACAGAUGAGGAGCUUGCUCCUCUGACGUUAGCGGCGGACGGGUGAGUAACACGUGGAUAACCUACCUAUAAGACUGGGAUAACUUCGGGAAACCGGAGCUAAUACCGGAUAAUAUAUUGAACCGCAUGGUUCAAUAGUGAAAGACGGUUUUGCUGUCACUUAUAGAUGGAUCCGCGCCGCAUUAGCUAGUUGGUAAGGUAACGGCUUACCAAGGCAACGAUGCGUAGCCGACCUGCGAGGGUGAGCGGCCACACUGGAACUGAGACACGGUCCAGACUCCUACGGGAGGCAGCAGUAGGGAAUCUUCCGCAAUGGGCGAAAGCCUGACGGAGCAACGCCGCGUGAGUGAUGAAGGUCUUCGGAUCGUAAAACUCUGUUAUUAGGGAAGAACAAAUGUGUAAGUAACUAUGCACGUCUUGACGGUACCUAAUCAGAAAGCCACGGCUAACUACGUG
rnacentral:rRNA from 1 species